UCAGUCGACUCCUACGGGGAGGCAGCAGUGGGGAAUAUUGCACAAUGGGGGAAACCCUGAUGCAGCCAUGCCGCGUGUGUGAAGAAGGCCUUCGGGUUGUAAAGCACUUUCAGUAGGGAGGAAGGUAGUGUAGUUAACACCUGCAUUAUUUGACGUUACCUACAGAAGAAGCACCGGCUAACUCCGUGCCAGCAGCCGCGGUAAUACGGAGGGUGCGAGCGUUAAUCGGAAUUACUGGGCGUAAAGCGCAUGCAGGUGGCCUGUUAAGUCAGAUGUGAAAGCCCGGGGCUUAACCUCGGAAUUGCAUUUGAAACUGGCAGGCUAGAGUCUUGUAGAGGGGGGUAGGAAUUUCAGGUGUAGCGGUGAAAUGCGUAGAGAUCUGAAGGAAUACCAGUGGCGAAGGCGGCCCCCUGGACAAAGACUGACGCUCAGAUGCGAAAGCGUGGGGAGCAAACAGGAUUAGAUACCCUGGUAG
rnacentral:rRNA from 1 species